UAUCCUUUUGGGCUGCUGAGAGCACAUGUAACUGCACAGUCUCCACAGGAUGGCUAGGGAGGAACAGAAGGGAGGCAAUUAUAUCUGCAAGGAACACACUCAAAAGUGCCAGGACAAAAUUCCUCCCUGCUCUGUAACAGCACCAGGCAUCCUCCUGGAGAGCAAGCCAAGGAUUACAAACAGGGAUUAACCUGUUACGCGAAUUUGCUGAGAGCAAAGUAAUUUGUAAAUAGCAAUCUCCUCCAUUCAUUGUUAUCUAAAAAAGGUUCUGAUCUAGUUCUGCAAAUGUUGACGUUUUCCUGCAAGCAGCGAUAGAGGAGAGUCUCACAAUAAAAGCCUGCAUCAAAAUCCAGAAACACACCAACAAGCAGAAAACUGGCUGGCUGGAGCUACCUUGGAGGGUGGACAAGCAAGGAUGGAAGAGAAAGUUUAUUACUGAGAACAACUCUCUCCCUCAGAUGAGAGCAGCCUCUAAAGACGAGCUAAGGAUACAGAAUAGGAGUGGAAAUUGCUCUGUUUCAAACACCACAGAUUAAAGCAAUGUCUCUUGGAGGAGACUGCCCAGCUCCAGGAGCAAUCCUCACAAAUGGGGAGGACAAGAGCCAUCCAGGUCUGGUGACUGCCUUCAGGUGAGCAAAGCUCAGCAAGAUGCAGGCCACCAGGAGGGGGAAUCGCUGCACUCAUCAGCCUCUUUGCUCCCACCAGAGCCGGGACAGGGGUGACUUUGAAAAGCCCCAUGUGAACAAAAACCAAAAGCAAGCCAGCGCAUAUUUUGGCGGAUCGAGAUAACAAUAAAAGCUGGCACAGCAUCAUUCUGCAAAGCCUCCGUAUCAUGCAGAUGGAGUUCUCACCACCACAUGGCAGCUUUUUUCACCUUUAAUUCCACCCUCAUACAUCAUCUCUGAACUCUACCCAGCUUUCGCACCAUGCACAGGCACCAGCUUGGGUGCAGCAGCGCAGAAGCAUUUGCACCAGUGAGAGCGAAGCUAACACACCUUCUCCUCCUCCUCCAGAGCCACAGUGAGGUAUCAAAGACCACCUCUGCCUGCCUGCCUCCAGCACCACUCCAUGUUCAACAUAGUGAUGAACCCAGGCAAAAACUACUGCUCCCUAGGACAGGCCUUGCUCCUUCCUCACUUGCUUCUCUGUUCGUGUAACAGACUAUUCCUGAGCAGUUUGCUUUCUCUG